AGAGUUUGAUCCUGGCUCAGGACGAACGCUGGCGGCGUGCUUAACACAUGCAAGUCGAACGAAAAGAGGGAAAGAGCUUGCUCUUUCCGGAAUUGAGUGGCAAACGGGUGAGUAACACGUAAACAACCUGCCUUCAGGAUGGGGACAACAGACGGAAACGACUGCUAAUACCGAAUAAGUUCCAAGAGCCGCAUGGCCCAUGGAAGAAAAGGUGGCCUCUACCUGUAAGCUAUCGCCUGAAGAGGGGUUUGCGUCUGAUUAGCUGGUUGGAGGGGUAACGGCCCACCAAGGCGACGAUCAGUAGCCGGUCUGAGAGGAUGAACGGCCACACUGGAACUGAGACACGGUCCAGACUCCUACGGGAGGCAGCAGUGGGGAAUCUUCCGCAAUGGGCGAAAGCCUGACGGAGCAACGCCGCGUGAGUGAUGACGGCCUUCGGGUUGUAAAACUCUGUGAUCCGGGACGAAAAGGCAGAGUGCGAAGAACAAACUGCAUUGACGGUACCGGAAAAGCAAGCCACGGCUAACUACGUGCCAGCAGCCGCGGUAAUACGUAGGUGGCAAGCGUUGUCCGGAAUUAUUGGGCGUAAAGCGCGCGCAGGCGGCUUCCCAAGUCCCUCUUAAAAGUGCGGGGCUUAACCCCGUGAUGGGAAGGAAACUGGGAAGCUGGAGUAUCGGAGAGGAAAGUGGAAUUCCUAGUGUAGCGGUGAAAUGCGUAGAGAUUAGGAAGAACACCGGUGGCGAAGGCGACUUUCUGGACGAAAACUGACGCUGAGGCGCGAAAGCGUGGGGAGCAAACAGGAUUAGAUACCCUGGUAGUCCACGCCGUAAACGAUGGAUACUAGGUGUGGGGGGUCUGACCCCCUCCGUGCCGCAGUUAACACAAUAAGUAAUCCACCUGGGGAGUACGACCGCAAGGUUGAAACUCAAAGGAAUUGACGGGGGCCCGCACAAGCGGUGGAGUAUGUGGUUUAAUUCGACGCAACGCGAAGAACCUUACCAGGUCUUGACAUUGAUCGCGAUCUGCAGAAAUGCGGAGUUCUUCUUCGGAAGACGAGAAAACAGGUGGUGCACGGCUGUCGUCAGCUCGUGUCGUGAGAUGUUGGGUUAAGUCCCGCAACGAGCGCAA
rnacentral:rRNA from 1 species